CUCAAUCCUCCUAUGAGUAGAGCUGCAGGGUAAAGCACAAAGUAGGUACAAGACUGGAAUGAAGAACAGCAUUGUACACCUUGAUAGUAACGCCUCCUCCCCUGCGCUGUGUAUCUGCAGAAAGGAGCUCCAUUCUGCAGCAGAGGAGGCAUUACUGUGAGGAUCCAGGCCAACGUCAAUGUGCACCAGUUGCUUGGGAAUACCCCACAGUGCAACAAGCUUAACAUUUGUAUAUACAGAAGACUGGAAAUUACAAAAAAGAUCAGAAGCACGGAGCAAAGAGCUAGAGUACCUCUCGCGAGAAUUGAUGACUAUGUAUUUUGGUGGUGGGUGCACGGUAGGGAUACUUGAGAAAGGGGGCGUGACCUCCGAAAUGUCUGAAGUGUCCGGCGCUCACUCAGUGGUUUCCCUUUGUGAGAGGAAGGUGUCUGUCCUCUAAACUCUGCAUGCCCGAGGAAGGGUGAAGAUUGGUCGGAGUUAACACGGACUAUCGCGAAUAUCAGUGAGCACUUCUGGUGACUAUUUUUUGUAAUUUGUAUAUGCCUAUUGCCUGAAGGCAGCUACUAAAGAAAAAAGC